rnacentral:rRNA from 1 species
GAUGAACGCUGGCGGCGUGCCUAAUACAUGCAAGUCGAGCGAAGCGGGGAAGGGGGAGUAACACGUGGUAAACCUCCUCUAAGGCUGGGAAAACUUCGGGAAACAGGAGUAAAACCGGAUGGUGAGAGAUGGAUACGCGCUGCAUUAGCUAGUUGGUCAGGUAACGGCUUACAAAGGCAACGCUGCAUAGCCGACCUGAGAGGGUGAUCGGCCAUACUGGAACGCAGACACGGUCCAGACUCCUACGGGAGGCAGCAGUAGGGAAUCUUCCGCAAUGGGCGAAAGCCGGACGGAGCAACGCCGCGUGAGUGAUGAAGGUCUUCGGAUCGUAAAACUCUGUUAUUAGUGAAGCGGUACCUAAUCAGAAAGCCACGGCUAACUACGUGCCAGCAGCCGCGGUAAUUC